CUUGGUUACAAGAAGCUUGGGCUUUUGCUGUGCUGAGCUGUAUGAUUUCUGUUUCUUUUCCACUGAAGCUGUGCCUCCAUUUUAAAGAAGUUUUUUGCAUCCAGGCUUCUGUUCCCUGAAAUACUCAGUUAGCUGUGAGCAGGGCAUGGACGCGUGCACUGCUGUGUUUGCUGCUGUUACACGAGGGCUGUCAGCACUGUGAUGGGAAUGCUGGGGAGGCAGCAGAGAAGCUGAAGAGGUGAAGCAAUUUAGGACACAACCUUAUCCAAGCCAUCAGGAAGCUUCGUGUUGGUUCCUGCAGCCUUCGGCAAAGGCGUCCCCUCACUGCAACCACAUCUGAGCCACUGCAACAGGCAUUUCUUAAUAGCGCUGGGAAGAGAAACAGAAGAAAAUUUCUUUGAAGUUUUACCUGGGCCUGAAGAGGCAGGAGGAGAGGAAAUACAGGCAAAUGGAGGAGAGCCAUUUGCCACCAUCCAAACAGGUUACCAGGCGAGUCUUUCCUGUGGAUAACUUGCCACGUUCUGAUUGUGGAUAUAAAACCUAAGCUCAUACUGCAUCUAAAAAAGCAUCUAUAUCAGUUCAAAGCUAAGACUAAAGUUUCAGCCUUUCUUCUGUUUCUUCUUAAUGUGAUGAAACCUGAGUCUGAAUGGAGAAAGUUCAUUCGUAAUGUGGCCAGCCCUGCGGUGUUGAGCUGAGAAAGUCUGCGGUUAUCAUUUCCUCCUCUGGGGCAUUUGUGGAUGACCAUUGCUGCCCUGGGAGCACCCGCCUGCUUGGCAGCCCCGGCCCAGUCUGCAGCCAUGCAGCAUGGUGUAUCCCACCCACAGUGAGGCUUUGUACCAGCACCAGCUGGCUGGGGGUUACAGCCCAGGGCUCAGCACUGGUACCUUUUGCCUCCCUGUGCACACAAGGCCAAUGUGGGUCUCCCUGACCUCGUGUGUCACCAAGGGAGCUUGCUUGUAAGUUUGUACAGUGCAUGGCUAGGAAUCAGCUGUAGCAAUCUGCCCACAGAACUCAAGCAACACCAGAAAAACUCAUUAUUCAAUACCUUAUUUCAUACUCUGGAAACAAGAGCAACAACCCCAGCCCUUCCUCCCCUUACAGUGGUGCAGUUUCCAUCAGUCUUUUCAACUCCUAAUGAGAUUUAGCGCUGGGGAGGGAUAUUUGUGCCAGAAGGACCGAGGCUUCUGAUCAAAAAGGCAUUGAAGUGUGCAGGAAAGUUCCUACAACAUUUGGAUCAAACCCCAUUUCUGUAUGGAAGAACAGAGCUAAUGCCACCUUAGUGAAGGUUUUAGGAGCUGUCUCUCGGCUCCUAUGUCAGGAAUGUGUUUGUGGAAAGUCUGUGAGAUCUUACCAAGUGAAUUCGUCAGAGAUUCACCCUGUGCCAAAAGACACGUCGCCCCGGGGAUGCUUGCACCAGUUCAUGGCCUCCUCUCCUGCCCCAGUGCAAAGAACAGCUCCUGCUCAUGGAGCACAGGCUGCUGUCAGAGAGCUCAGCAGCAUCUCGAAAAGCAAAACCCUCUGCUCCUCCUGCAGGAGAUUAGAGCUGAAGGAGGGAGUGCAGAAAAAGUACAUUUUCUGCUAACAAACAGAGCUGAAGUGACAGGGAAGUGGCACUGUGACACACACACACAGUGUGCACCUUACUCUGCCAUUCCCCUGAUGAUCAAUGUUACCCGAGGCAUUUUGCAGAUGAGUGCAGUUACCUCUUAUUCCCAGUAAUGAUGCAAUGUGAAAUGCAAAUACUAGAAAGGUUGGGCUGCUGUACAGCGGUAAUUAAUCACUCAUGCAGUUAUGCAGGAAUAGAACAGCAGUAGAUCUUUGAGUUUAUGAUAAAACAAUCUCAAAAAUACCCUGGGCUGAAAUCAACUGUUGUAUACAUGCAUCGUUUUCCCCUCACUGUGACCCACCUGGAUGCAGCCUGAGGCUUUGCAGAAGGGCUGGCAGCCCCCAGCCCUGGCCUUGGGAGCAGCCCAGCACAUUCUAUCAUUGACCUGAUGGUCCCAUCCUGGCUGCUACAGAGAAACACCAACUGUGGGGACUGGGACCAAAAAUACCCACAAGCCACAUUACAGCAGAGCUUCACUGGUUCAGCUCUUUCCUUCUAAUUAAACCAC